AGGCCUUCUGAUGCCUAAGGAUUGCUCACGUUACUUCAGCCAAUCAGAGAACUGUGCAUGAGUGGAUUGCUUAUCAUGUAGCCCCCCUCCCUCACCAGGCCUUUCAAAAUACUUUGCUGAAACCUUCUGGGGAGUUGGGGGUUUGGGGGGCAAGAAAGAAAGUGAAGUCGCUCAGUGGUGUCCGACUCUUUGCGACCCCGUGGACUGUAGCCUACCAGGCUUCUCCAUCCAUAGGAUUCUCCAGGCAAGAAUACUGGAGUGGGUUACUGUUUCCUUCUCCAGAGGAUCUUCCUGACCCAAGGAUUGAACCCAGGUCUCCUGCAUUGGAGGCAGACACUUUAACCACUGAGCCACCAGGGAGCGACCCAUUUUCCUUGCAUGGCCUGCAGUAAGCCUUUCUCUGUUCCAAACACCAACAUUUCAGUACUGUUUGGCCUCACUGUGCCAUCAGGCACAAGGACUUGGCCUUUGGGAACAAGAGAAACAGAGGCCUGAGCCCCUUUCCAGAAGAUUUCCCAGCUGAGCUGAUUGGCUGUGGCAUUAGUCCAGGUAACCAAGUACCCUUUCCACGCAGAAGCAGCAGACCCAGAGUCAUAGCCAAGCACAAGCACAUACGUCUUUCACAGAGCACUGCGCUCUCUCAGGGCCGAGUCUCACCUUGGAGGUUGAUGAUGCUCCGAAGUCACGGGGAGCUGGAGCCCAUCUCCACCGACAGCCGUCUGGCUUUUGGAUUCCAGUCACAUUCUUCACCAGCCGAAGGGAGUGCUCAAGGCCCUUCUGUCCAUGGGAUUCUCCAGGCAAGACUACUGAAGUGGAUUGCCAUGUCCUCCUCCAGGGAUCUUCCUGACCCAGGGAUCGAACCCACACCUUUUAUGUCUCCUGCAUUGACAGGUGGAAAAUCCCCAUACGAAAUGCCAAAGGAAUGACUGGGCAGUUGGAGCAGACACCCAAGGGGUGGCUGAGCCGGAAAAGCCUGACUGGGGGUGUGUGGCAGCAGACCUGGAUUCUCAGAGGAUUCAGAUGACUCCAAAGUUUCUUUAUGGCUGGAGCAGUGAUUGGCCCAGAGUUGGGACUCAGAUAAUAUU
ensembl:lncRNA